GAGUAAUACAUCGGAACGUGCCCAGUCGUGGGGGAUAACUACUCGAAAGAGUAGCUAAUACCGCAUACGAUCUGAGGAUGAAAGCGGGGGACCUUCGGGCCUCGCGCGAUUGGAGCGGCCGAUGGCAGAUUAGGUAGUUGGUGGGAUAAAAGCUUACCAAGCCGACGAUCUGUAGCUGGUCUGAGAGGACGACCAGCCACACUGGGACUGAGACACGGCCCAGACUCCUACGGGAGGCAGCAGUGGGGAAUUUUGGACAAUGGGCGAAAGCCUGAUCCAGCAAUGCCGCGUGCAGGAUGAAGGCCUUCGGGUUGUAAACUGCUUUUGUACGGAACGAAAAAGCUUCUCCUAAUACGAGAGGCCCAUGACGGUACCGUAAGC
rnacentral:rRNA from 1 species